CUUUUGGAGCGAGAAGAUCUCAUGCAGUCAUUCUCCAAAAGAAAGCACUUUCUGUUGUCUGAAAGCAGAGUGCCUUCUUUUGGAGCGUUACUGUUUGAGAAAAACCACGUUGAAGUUGA
rnacentral:precursor_RNA from 1 species